CCUACGGGCGGCAGCAGUGAGGAAUAUUGGUCAAUGGACGAGAGUCUGAACCAGCCAAGCAGCGUGAAGGAUGAAUGUCCUGUGUGUCGUAAACUUCUUUUGUAAAGGAAUAAAACCAGGCACGUGUGCCCUUUUGCAUGUACUUUAUGAAUAAGGAUCGGCUAACUCCGUGCCAGCAGCCGCGGUAAUACGGAGGAUCCGAGCGUUAUCCGGAUUUAUUGGGUUUAAAGGGAGCGCAGGGGGGUUGUUAAGUCAGGUGGGAAAGUAUGGGGCUCAACCGUAACAUUGCAAUUGAAACUGGCAGUCUGGAGUACAGGUGAGGUAGGCGGAAUGCGUGGUGUAGCGGUGAAAUGCUUAGAUAUCGCGAAGAACCCCGAUUGCGAAGGCAGCUUACUGGACUGAGACUGACAUUGAGGCACGAAAGUGUGGGUAUCGAACAGGAUUAGAUACCCGAGUAGUC
rnacentral:rRNA from 1 species